rnacentral:rRNA from 1 species
UCUGGCGUCUUCGGCGUCCGAGUUGUAAUCUGUAGAGGAUGCCUUUGGGUAGCCACCGGUCUAAGUCCCCUGGAACGGGGCGUCGCAGAGGGUGAGAAUCCCGUAUGUGACCGGAAGGGCGCCCUAUACAUAGCUCCUUCGACGAGUCGAGUUGUUUGGGAAUGCAGCUCUAAAUGGGAGGUAAAUUCCUUCUAAAGCUAAAUAUUGGCCAGAGACCGAUAGCGCACAAGUAGAGUGAUCGAAAGAUGAAAAGCACUUUGGAAAGAGAGUUAAAAAGCACGUGAAAUUGUUGAAAGGGAAGCGCUUGCAACCAGACUUGUUGGCGGUGUUCCGCCGGUCUUCUGACCGGUGUACUCGCCGUCUGCAGGCCAGCAUCAUCUGGGGCCGCCGGAUAAAAGCGAGGGGAACGUGGCUCCCUCGGGAGUGUUAUAGCCCCUCGUGCAAUACGGCGAGCCUCGGGUGAGGUCCGCGC